rnacentral:rRNA from 1 species
GAUGAACGCUAGCUACAGGCUUAACACAUGCAAGUCGAGGGGCAUCAUGCUUAUAGCAAUAUAAGUGAUGGCGACCGGCGCACGGGUGAGUAACACGUAUCCAACCUGCCGAUAACUCGGGGAUAGCCUUUCAAAAGAAAGAUUAAUACCCGAUGGUAUAAUAAAACCGCAUGGUUUAAUUAUUAAAGAAUUUCGGUUAUCGAUGGGGAUGCGUUCCAUUAGGCAGUUGGUGAGGUAACGGCUCACCAAACCUUCGAUGGAUAGGGGUUCUGAGAGGAAGGUCCCCCACAUUGGAACUGAGACACGGUCCAAACUCCUACGGGAGGCAGCAGUGAGGAAUAUUGGUCAAUGGGCGCGAGCCUGAACCAGCCAAGUAGCGUGAAGGAUGACUGCCCUAUGGGUUGUAAACUUCUUUUAUAUGGGAAUAAAGUGAUCCACGUGUGGAUUUUUGUAUGUACCAUAUGAAUAAGGAUCGGCUAACUCCGUGCCAGCAGCCGCGGUAAUACGGAGGAUCCGAGCGUUAUCCGGAUUUAUUGGGUUUAAAGGGAGCGUAGGUGGACAGUUAAGUCAGUUGUGAAAGUUUGCGGCUCAACCGUAAAAUUGCAGUUGAUACUGGCUGUCUUGAGUACAGUAGAGGUGGGCGGAAUUCGUGGUGUAGCGGUGAAAUGCUUAGAUAUCACGAAGAACUCCGAUUGCGAAGGCAGCUCACUGGACUGCAACUGACACUGAUGCUCGAAAGUGUGGGUAUCAAACGGGCCUAGAUACCCUGGUAGUCCACACAGUAAA